rnacentral:lncRNA from 1 species
GCCCCUUUUAACAAAAACAUAUAUAAUGAAUUUAAACUAGCAGUAACAGUUGCCAGAUACCUGCAACUUCUCAUGGCUCUUUAGCUAGUAAGCUUUUCCUCCUGUUUUGGAGGGAGAAGAGGUCGUAUUUCAUUAGUGUCAAUUUGUUAUAACUUGAAUGCUUUUUCCACAGAAGAGAAGCUCAUCUGCAGAUGUGCAUACACAGUUUCUCAAAGAUUUACAAGGUCUUCAUUCGGGUUGCAACAUAACUAAUUUUUGAACAAGCUAUAAACAGAGGGCUCCCAACAAAUAGGCAAAAACAUGCUGAUGCAGGACUACUCAUCCUCCUGGUGUCAUCAAUUCCUCAACCACAAUGUUCCAUCAUAGGAAUAGCAUCAAUCAGCAAGCCAAGCACAGACCAGGCAAACCUCCAACACAUGCCUCUCCCUUCCUCCUCCACUAGGUUUCAGGAACUUGGGCAAGGAGGAGAUUACACAGUUGAAGUGUGUCAAGCUGUUGUGUGACCUCUUCUGCCCAACGACAGUUUACAAGCUCUCGUAGCUGCAGCGGGGCUCUGCAAGAAGCAUUGCAAGAGUUACAGAGAGAAUUCAGCUCCAGGAACUAAAAGAGCAGCAUUGAAAUGAAACCAGUUCAUCAAUUCUACAGUACUGGAAAAGCCAUGGGCAAAAUGCUGAAGCU